rnacentral:misc_RNA from 1 species
UUAAGUUCAGCGGGUAGUCCUACCUGAUUUGAGGUCAAAAUGUCAGGAGUUGUCCGUGAGGACAGUUGUAAGCAAAACCCAUCAAUUAAAUGAAGCUGACAUUCCGAGGCGUAGAUAAUUAUCACACCAGGGAUGGGUCAACAAAGGUCUCACUAAUGCAUUUUAGGAGAGCCGACUUCUUAAGCCCGCAACCCCCACAU